rnacentral:rRNA from 1 species
UGGGGAAUAUUGGACAAUGGGCGAAAGCCUGAUCCAGCCAUGCCGCGUGUGUGAAGAAGGUCUUCGGAUUGUAAAGCACUUUAAGUUGGGAGGAAGGGCAGUAAGCGAAUACCUUGCUGUUUUGACGUUACCGACAGAAUAAGCACCGGCUAACUCUGUGCCAGCAGCCGCGGUAAUACAGAGGGUGCAAGCGUUAAUCGGAAUUACUGGGCGUAAAGCGCGCGUAGGUGGUUCGUCAAGUUGAAUGUGAAAGCCCCGGGCUCAACCUGGGAACUGCAUCCAAAACUGGCGAGCUAGAGUAGGGCAGAGGGUGGUGGAAUUUCCUGUGUAGCGGUGAAAUGCGUAGAUAUAUGAAGGAACACCAGUGGCGAAGGCGACCACCUGGGCUCAUACUGACACUGAGGUGCGAAAGCGUGGGGAGCAAACAGG